rnacentral:rRNA from 1 species
GAGUUUGAUCAUGGUUCAGGAUGAACGCUAGCGACAGGCUUAUCACAUGCAAGUCGAGGGGCAGCAUAAAAGUAGCAAUACUUUGGUGGCGACCGGCGCACGGGUGAGUAACGCGUAUGCAACCUACCUAUCAGAGGGGAAUAACCCGGCGAAAGUCGGACUAAUACCGCAUAAAACAGGGGCACCGCAUGGUGAUAUUUGUUAAAGAAAUUCGCUGAUAGAUGGGCAUGCGUUCCAUUAGGUAGUUGGUGAGGUAACGGCUCACCAAGCCGACGAUGGAUAGGGGAACUGAGAGGUUGGUCCCCCACACUGGUACUGAGACACGGACCAGACUCCUACGGGAGGCAGCAGUGAGGAAUAUUGGUCAAUGGGCGGGAGCCUGAACCAGCCAAGUCGCGUGAAGGAAGAAGGAUCUAUGGUUCGUAAACUUCUUUUGCAGGGGAAUAAAGUGCAGGACGUGUCCUGUUUUGUAUGUACCCUGAGAAUAAGGAUCGGCUAACUCCGUGCCAGCAGCCGCGGUAAUAC